rnacentral:rRNA from 1 species
CCUACGGGGGGCAGCAGUCGGGAAACUUCUGCAAUGCGCGCAAGCGUGACAGAGUAAGCCAACGUGUUGCUCAGUAUUUUGAACAACUUUUUUGCGCUGUAAAAAGGCGUAAGAAUAAGGACUGGGAGAGACAGGUGCCAGCCGCCGCGGUAAUCCCUGCAGUCCAAGUCGCAACCACAUUUGUUGGGUCUAAAACAUCCGUAGCCAGCUUCGUAAGUCUCCUGUGAAAUCCGGCCUCUCAAGGGUCGACGAGCGGGAGAUACUGCAGAGCUAGGGACCGGGAGGCGUAACGAGUACGUACAGAGUACCGGUAAAAUGGGUUGAUUCUGUACGGACUAACAACCGCGAAGGCACGUUACGAGCACGGAUCCGACGGUGAGGGAUGAAGGCUAGGGGCGCAAAGUGGAUUAGAUACCCGGGUAGUC